AUCAAGAGAGGGACGCUGAACCAACUGAGCCACCCAGGCACCCCAUCAGUGACGGUGAUUUUUAAGAAACCUUUCCCUGGAUGCAAUAUGGAGAGUGGACUGGAGGGAAGAACUAACAGAUGUAGGAAUCCUAGUUUGGAGCUGUGGCCAUAAUGCAGGUGCCGUCCUCCGCUCAUGUAAAUGAUCGGUUGAUAUUUUGAACGUUGGGAGAUACGAGAAGGCGUGAAAAGUUCUGCGAGGAAAAGCUUCCAUCCGCCCGGUAAAAGGAUCUGUGAAGCCAGGAGUUAUUCAUAUCCUCCGCCAGGAUGGGCAUCAUUGUAAAAUCUACCUGCCAGUCUUUCCCAGGUAAAGUUCCCCUUUGUGUAGCUUUGGCUAGAGGUGGGACAGGGGGAG